GAUGAACGCUGGCGGCGUGCCUAAUACAUGCAAGUCGAGCGAACAGACGAGGAGCUUGCUCCUUUGACGUUAGCGGCGGACGGGUGAGUAACACGUAGGUAACCUACCUAUAAGACUGGGAUAACUUCGGGAAACCGGAGCUAAUACCGGAUAAUAUUUCGAACCGCAUGGUUCGAUAGUGAAAGAUGGCUUUGCUAUCACUUAUAGAUGGGCCUGCGCCGUAUUAGCUAGUUGGUAAGGUAACGGCUUACCAAGGCAACGAUACGUAGCCGACCUGAGAGGGUGAUCGGCCACACUGGAACUGAGACACGGUCCAGACUCCUACGGGAGGCAGCAGUAGGGAAUCUUCCGCAAUGGGCGAAAGCCUGACGGAGCAACGCCGCGUGAGUGAUGAAGGUCUUCGGAUCGUAAAACUCUGUUAUUAGGGAAGAACAAACGUGUAAGUAACUGUGCACGUCUUGACGGUACCUAAUCAGAAAGCCACGGCUAACUACGUG
rnacentral:rRNA from 1 species